ACCUUAAAGCUAGCCUAACUACCAUUAAUUUACCCCAAUAUUCAUAAUUAAUUACAUUAAUAUUUUAUACUUAAAACAUUUUUACAUUCUUAGUAUAGGCGAUAGAACAGAAAUAUUUAGCGCUAUAGAGAUAGUACCGCAAGGGAAAGCUGAAAAAGAAAUGAAACAAAUCAUUAAAGUAUUAAAAAGCAAAGAUUAACCCCUGUACCUUUUGCAUCAUGAUUUAGCAAGAACAAAUGGGCAAAAAGACUUUAAGUCCAUCUUCCCGAAACUAGACGAGCUACUUCGGAACAGCAUAAUAGAGCUAACCCGUCUCUGUGGCAAAAGAGUGGGGUGAUUCCUAAGUAGAGGUGAAAAGCCUACCGAGCCUAGUGAUAGCUGGUUGCCCAAGAAAAGAACUUUAAUUCUGCAAUAACCCCUUCAACUUAUCAAAUCAGAUUUACUUAAUAAGAUAAUUUGUAAGAAUUAUUAGUUAUUCAAAAGAGGUACAACUCUUCUGAAUUAAAAAACAAUUUUUCUAGGUGGGUAACGAUCAUAUUAUAUAAGGACCUCGCCUCAGUAGGCCUAAAAGCAGCCACCUGAUUAGUAAGCGUCACAGCUCCAGCCCUAACUUACCUAUAAUUCCGAUAUUUUCUCCAAACCCCCUAACCUAUAUUGGGCUUUUUUAUUUAAAACAAUAAAAGAACUUAUACUAAAAUGAGUAAUUAGAGGAUUAUCCUCUCCAAGGCACCGGUGUAAGUCAGAAAGAAUUAAAUCACUGACAAUUAUCCGACACCAACUUGAGGUUAAAGUAUUAAUAACAAAAACCUAGAAAAACACAUUUACCAGAUCGUUGACCCUACACAGGAGUGCCCCCAGGAAAGAUUAAAAGAAAGUAAAGGAACUCGGCAAACACAAACUCCGCCUGUUUACCAAAAACAUCGCCUCUUGCAAUACUUAUAUAAGAGGUCCCGCCUGCCCUGUGACAUUGUUUAACGGCCGCGGUAUUCUGACCGUGCGAAGGUAGCGUAAUCACUUGUCUUUUAAUUGAAGACCUGUAUGAAAGGCAUCACGAGAGUUUACCUGUCUCUAUUUUCUAAUCAAUGAAAUUGAUCUUCCCGUGCAGAAGCGGGAAUAAAACCAUAAGACGAGAAGACCCUAUGGAGCUUUAAACACUUAAGUUACUAUUUAAUUACCAAAUACCUAAAGGACAAAAAUAACUAUAAUAACCUAACUUAAUGUUUUCGGUUGGGGCGACCGAGGAGUAAAAGAAAACCUCCUCAUCGAUUGAGUAUAACUUAAAAAUUUGAACAACAGUUCCAAUUAAUAGAAUAUCUAACGAACAAUGACCCAGGAUUAAUUCCUGAUCAAUGGACCAAGUUACCCUAGGGAUAACAGCGCAAUCCUUUCUAAGAGCCCAUAUCGACGAAAGGGUUUACGACCUCGAUGUUGGAUCAGGACAUCCUAAUGGUGCAACCGCUAUUAAGGGUUCGUUUGUUCAACGAUUAAUAGUCCUACGUGAUCUGAGUUCAGACCGGAGUAAUCCAGGUCAGUUUCUAUCUAUGUAGAUAUUUUUCCUAGUACGAAAGGACCGGAAAAAUGAAGCCCAUGCCUCAAGCACGCUUCUCCCCCACCUGUUGAAAUUAACUCAAACAGUUAAGGGGGGUCAAUCUUCAAUUGAAGAUUAUAAUAA
rnacentral:rRNA from 1 species